GUUUAGUGAUCCAACUGAGGGACUGAAAGGAAAAUCAUUUUAUUACGUUGAGGGAAUUGACGUGAAAUGUGAUGAAAUAAAAUAUCAAUGCUAUCAAGAGUAAAAUUUACAAUGAGCAUACUUAACAAAUCAAAGUAAUAUAAUUAAAGUGACUCUCUUGCUUUGCAGGUUUUGUUUUAAGUUAGUCCUUUUUUUCCCACUAUUUCUCCUUUUUAAAUUCAAUGACUAGUUUUUGUCAUAGAGAAUGUGAUCUUUGGCAAAUUUUGGCAAUGGGUGGCGCUAAACACCUUAAGGACCAAACUUCUGGAAUAAAAGGGAAUCAUGACAUGUCACACAUGCCAUGUGUCCUUAAGGGGUUAAACAUAGUUCCAUUUCAGGUGAUAAGUUAAUUUACC